AUUGAACGCUGGCGGCAGGCCUAACACAUGCAAGUCGAACGAGUGGCGGACGGGUGAGUAAUGUCUGGGAAACUGCCCGAUGGAGGGGGAUAACUACUGGAAACGGUAGCUAAUACCGCAUACCAUCGGAUGUGCCCAGAUGGGAUUAGCUUGUAGGUGCGGUAACGGCUAACCUAGGCGACGAUCCCUAGCUGGUCUGAGAGGAUGACCAGCCACACUGGAACUGAGAAACGGUCCAGACUCCUACGGGAGGCAGUAGUGGGGAAUAUUGCACAAGGGGCGCAAGCCUGAUGCAGCCAGGCCGCGUGUGUUAAGAAGGCCUUCGUGUUGUAAAGCACUUUCAGCGGGGAGGCGUUACCCGCAGAAGAAGCACCGGCUAACUCCGUGCCAGCAGCCGCGGUAAGAC
rnacentral:rRNA from 1 species